rnacentral:lncRNA from 1 species
UAAUUACUUAUAAGCUAAAAUUUACAUGUUUAAAAAUAUAAAAUUUUAAAAUUGUCCAAAAUUUGACUUCAAUUAGUCAUUUAAGCAAAAAUACAAAGUCACAUAACAUAAAUGUACAUCCAUAAGCAUUUCGAACAUUACUUCAAAGUUUACAAGUUCAACUUCAACACAUUCCACUACCCAAAAACUUCAAUUGCAUUCCAGAGCUCCAAAAUCCAAAGUUCCAACAUACAAACAUGACAAUACAAAGAAUUAAAGGAUCUUGAACUCAAGUGUAUACUUUCUGAUGCCAUAGCCUCUUUUUGGCAACCUCUUUAGUCUCCAAAACGAUAUGAGUUGAAUGUCUUUCGAUUUCUUGUCUUUCGAUUUCACAAGAAAUCGAAAACUUCAAGUUCGAAAUCAAUUUUCAAAAAAUUAAUUCAAG